rnacentral:miRNA from 1 species
AUGCCCAGUUAAAUUUGAAUUUCAGAAAGACAAUGAAAUUUUUUUAGUAGAAGUAUAGCCCAUGCAAUAUUUGGGAUAUACUUAUGCUGAAAAUGAUUUCUUGGUCUUCUGAAAUUCACAUUUAACUGGGCCUGCUGUA